CACGAACCGGACAAACGUUAUUCGGAAUUAUUGGGCUUAAAGGGUGCGUAGGCGGCGCGGUAAGUGAGGUGUGAAAUCCCACGACUCAAUCGUGGAACUGCGCUUCAUACUGCCGUGCUAGAGGGAGACAGAGGUAAGCGGAACUGAUGGUGGAGCGGUGAAAUGCGUUGAUAUUAUCAGGAACACCAGUGGCGAAAGCGGCUUACUGGGUCUCUUCUGACGCUGAGGCACGAAAGCUAGGGUAGCGAACGGG
rnacentral:rRNA from 1 species